GACGAACGCUGGCGGCGUGCCUAAUACAUGCAAGUUGAGCGAUGAAGAUUGGUGCUUGCACCAAUUUGAAGAGCAGCGAACGGGUGAGUAACGCGUGGGGAAUCUGCCUUUGAGCGGGGGACAACAUUUGGAAACGAAUGCUAAUACCGCAUAACAACUUUAAACAUAAGUUUUAAGUUUGAAAGAUGCAAUUGCAUCACUCAAAGAUGAUCCCGCGUUGUAUUAGCUAGUUGGUGAGGUAAAGGCUCACCAAGGCGAUGAUACAUAGCCGACCUGAGAGGGUGAGCGGCCACAUUGGGACUGAGACACGGCCCAAAAUCCUACGGGAGGGAGCAGUAGGGGAUCUUCGGCAAUGGACGAAAGUCUGACCGAGCAACGCCGCGUGAGUGAAGAAGGUUUUCGGAUCGUAAAACUCUGUUGGUAGAGAAGAACGUUGGUGAGAGUGGAAAGCUCAUCAAGUGACGGUAACUAACCAGAAAGGGACGGCUAACUACGUG
rnacentral:rRNA from 1 species